UACGGAGGGUGCGAGNGUUAAUCGGAAUUACUGGGCGUAAAGCGCACGCAGGCGGUUUGUUAAGCANGAUGUGAAAGCCCCGGGCUCAACCUGGGAUGGUCAUUUAAAACUGGCAGACUAGAGUCUUGGAGAGGGGAGUGGAAUUCCAGGUGNAGCGGUGAAAUGCGUAGAUAUCUGGAGGAACAUCAGUGGCGAAGGCGACUCCCUGGCCAAAGACUGACGCUCAUGUGCGAAAGUGUGGGUAGCGAANAGG
rnacentral:rRNA from 1 species